rnacentral:lncRNA from 1 species
AGAACUUAAAAAGCUUGUCGAAGAAGGAAAAAUAAGAUAUAUUGGGUUAUCUGAAGCUAGCCCAGACACAAUAAGAAGGGCUCAUGCUGUUCAUCCCAUUAGUGCUCUACAAGUAGAAUAUUCCCUCUGGACUCGUGACAUCGAAGAAGAUAUAAUUCCAGUCUGCAGGUUUCCCUUAGUUCUCAAAUGCUUCUAUUAUAGUUUCACUUGUUCAAAAUAUUACAUUUUCAACUAAUACUUUGACAAAUUGCAAUUUAAGUGGGAACUUGAAAGCAUAUGUUUGAAUUUCAAAUUGGCUUUUUUUAGUACAUAAAGUUAGUACAUGAUGUCAUUUUCCUUAUAAGAUUAACAUUGCAAUGUUUAGCUCUAAUUUUCUAGUAUAAUAGUUCACGUUUGUAUACUUUUCUUCUUGAUAUAAACUUUUUUUAUUGGGUUAAACUAUCAUCACACUUAGUGUUUUGAACAUAUUUAUAAAAGAAGUGUUUCCUUUUCUCAAUCAAUGUUAUUCAAUUUCCUAAUUUAGCUUCUUCUAUUAUUGUUCCCCGGUCGAUACUCUGUCCACUAUUAUGCUGCAUGUGUACUUUUUCAUCUUAUUGUUGUCCUUCUUGUGCAGUAGGUAUGUUUUUACGUAGGAUUUAUUUUCGUUUUCAUUUUGGAAUGGAUGAUUAGGGAACUUGGGAUCGGAAUAGUUCCAUAUAGUCCAGUAGGCAGAGGGUUUUUUGCUGGGAAGGCUAUAGUGGAAAAGGUGCCUCAAAAUAGUUCAUUGGUAUGUGUGCAUCUCUUAUCUAUUAAUUUUUAUUGUGUAAUUUCUUCUUUUGAAACCAAGAUGAUUUAGUAGUCUCUUCAAUUCAGUUGUAUUAGCUGAACAUUGCCUAAUUAUCGUGCCUAUAGGAACAUCACCCAAGGUUUAAGGGAGAUAACUUUGAGAAGAACAAGGCCAUUUAUUUUCGUAUUGAAAAGUUAGCUAAGAAGCAUGGAUGCACUCCUGCUCAACUUGCGCUCGCAUGGGUUCUUCAUCAAGGAGAUGACGUUGUACCUAUUCCAGGUAAGUCCGUUCAUAUAAGAAGCUUACUUUAAAUAAGUAGUUUUCACAGGACUUCAGCAGUUUGUUAUAACUGGAAAAUUGUGAUAUUUGUCGAUGUUGUAACUCACGUAGCAAUGGAAGAUGACUGACUCAAAUGUUUAUUGUUAUAUUGAUCUCAUGAAUUGUUUAAGAAUUAGCAGUAAAUCAAUCUUGUAAUAUUUACAGGAACCACAAAAAUAAAAAAUCUUCAUGAAAAUAUUGGUUCCGUGAAAGUGAAGCUUACAAAAGAUGAUUUGAAAGAGAUAUCCGAUGCAGUUCCCAUCGAUGAGGUGGCAGGGACCAAAACUCAUUCGGAGGCCCUUGAAAAGAGCUCUUGGAGAUUUGCAUAUACACCACUGCCAAAAUGAGCACAGCAGAACCGGAAAAUAUUUUUAUCUUAAUGUCUUGAAAGAACGUGUGCUUUUUGGGGAUAGUUCUAGCAAUUUCAUGUACUUCGUAUAACUCUUUCUCGGGUCAAUAAUUUCAGUACUGUGUUUCUUGAGUUUAAAGUCUGUCCUUUAUGCUUAAUGCCUAAAUUUUGUAAGGUAUUCUCUAAGGUUUUGAAGAACAUAGAACACAUAUCCCAGCUACAAUAUCAGUAUUUUAGUUUGUGAUCAUGUUUCCUCCUUUAUCGUUGUGGCGUGAUAUAUUACAAAUUAUGUUUAUUAAUUUUACUUUGGGCCAACUCUUUGGAAGAUGUUAGUAGAUGUAUCAAGGAAUUGAAUUUUUUU